UUCUGCUGCCGAUCUCCCUCUUCCACACUUCCUGAUUGAUCAAAAUUAUUGUCCCUCCACUCAUGUUUCUUCUUACGAACAACAUGCUGCCAAAUAUUCUUAAGUGCCUCAAUCCGCACUGGUUUGAUCAAAUAAUCAUAUGCACCAUGAGUAACUCCUUUCAUAACUACAUCCUUACUAUCAUCAGCAGACAUCAUUAUUUG
rnacentral:misc_RNA from 1 species